UACACUUCCUGUGUGACUCUGAACAAGUCAUUUCAUCUUUGUGCUUAGUUCACUACCUAGGAAAGAGAGGAGCUACAGAUAUUCUUUAUGGGAUUCUGGGAUUCACCAGAACAAUUUCAUCAAUGUUUGAGGUACUAGUACCAUUGAGGUAUCCAGCCUCACCUGCAGCAAUUACUCCAGAAACUCCACAGGAAAAUGAAGUUUUUGGAACUGAUCAUCUUCAUCAAUGGAGUGAUGCAUUGGUUUAAAUCUGGAAACACAAUGAACCUUUGGUGUAACUGGUUGCUGAAUCUCAUCUAAGCCCAGGACACCUACCACACACCCUCAGAAAGUGCACUUCAGUUCUGGUAUGAAACAUAGGAAGUUAAGUUGCUCUCCUUCAAAAAGGUAGAGAAUAUAAAUAUGAAUCAUGGUAAAUAAAUGAGAUGACUUUCUGGCAAUUCAUUAAAUUGUCAUGGCUUCCUUUGUUGAUCAACCACUUCAUAACUGUGAUUCUUUCAGAUCACUGCCAGCAGUUUUGCAUCUCUUCUACAGGGCUGCUGUAGAGGACUAAAAACUGCAACCUAGAU